GUAUAUUCUCUCUCUUUCUCUCUGUCUCUGUCUCCCUCUAUCUUUAAAAAAUCCUUAUCUUCUGUUUUAGAACCAGUAUUGGUUCUAUGGAAGAAGAGCAGAAAGGACCAGACAAGUGGGAUUAAAUAAAUCACUCACUGUCACAUAAUUCAGAAGUGUCUGAGGUCCAAUUUGAAUCCAGGACCUCACAUCUCCAGGACUUGGUUCUCUAUCCAUCUAGCCACCUGACUGACCCAGUGAAAAGUCUUCUAAAUGGCUUCAGUGUCAGAAGCAUUGGUGACUCAGGAGGUACUGAGUAUGCAUACAACAGAGAUGACUCAACUAUCUUUCAGUUUCUUUCUGAUGGAAGCUUCAGAGAGCCAUCUUUUAUAAACAAAGAACAAAACAAAACGAGGAGGGAAGAAGGCAGUCCAGCAAAAUUAACCCAGUCAUAAGCCAAGUGUAACAUUGUGUGUGAUGUUCGACAGCCGUGGUUCUUCUCCUCUGCAAAGAAGGGCGGGAGGUACAUCCUGUCAGUUAGUAAGUAUUUAUUAAAUAUCUAUUUCCUUUUUUAUUCCUAAAUUUUAUUUUAUUUUUCUCCAA
rnacentral:lncRNA from 1 species